CCUCGCUCUGUCUCUUUGUGAUUGAGUGAGUUGAGAAGUUAGUUGGAUACCCUUCUACUGUCCUUCAAGGUUAACCACAGACACACACACACACACACACACACACACACACACACACACACACACCUCUCUGUGUACAUCAUUUCAUUGGCACUUAUAGGCCUUUCCACUCUUGCUGGUAUUUGACAUGCUUGGCUUAAUGUAUGGGGAACAUCUUUUAUCAUCACCUUCUGUGUGUGAGUGUGCAGGUGUGUGUUUGCAUUUUUGCAUGCAUAUGUGUGUGUGUGAGUAUGUGUGGCUGGCUCAUUUAGAUUGUGGACCGUAUGAAUUUCCAUUAUGCAGGGUUGACAAGGAAAUGGCCCAAUUUUUAAUUGGUGGGGAUUCGCCUGCAACACAAGGUCAUUGGCUGAUAAUAUGUCAAUUAUCUGUCUCACAGCUGAGAGAGCGAGCUGAGAGAGAGAGACACACGCACAGAGAGAGAGACACACACACAGAGAGAGAGACACGCACAGAGAGAGAGAGAGACACACAGAGAGAGAGAGAGACACACAGAGAGAGAGAGAGACAUGCAGAGAGAGAGAGAGACACACAGAGAGAGAGAGAGAGAGAGAAGAAGGGAAGUAGAAAAUGAGAGGAGACCAGAGGAUGGACAUAGCCUCAUUUGACUUGUCAGCUAUCUAUCCCAGCAGUGAUCUGAGAGACCAAACCGAACACCACACCACACACACCCACCCACCCAUCCACCCACACACACACACACACACACACACACACACACACACACACACACACACACAAGGCAAAGUCACCUCCAGGCACAACAGCAGGAACUCUUCAAAGCACCAGUCAGCUCUCUUUCUUAUGCUCUCCUUCUCGCUCUACUCUGUCCACAUGCACUCCCAGGUUAAGAGGGUUGUUUAAUAUGCUAAGGAGAUGCACCAUGAUGUGAGUUUUAAUGUAGCUUUCUCUCUCUGUCUUUUCUGUCUCCUUCUGUUUGGUAUUUCUCUAUCCAAAUAUAUAUAUUCCCUCAUUUUUAAACAAUUAUUUGUGAAAUCAAGCAAUUGUAUAAUCUGAGUUUAUACCUCUCCUUAAACUUGAGCUUGGUGUCCCGCUUGGCUUUGCGCUUCAGAGCAGGAACCCCCGAGGACAUCCUUGUUGACAUUAGUUUUGUCCAGAGGAAUAUCCGCAAAGUAUCUGUUGAACACCCUGAUAAAAGCCUUGAUGUUGGACUUUUUGAGUAUCUUCUAUGCUUGUUGUCACUUCAAGGUUGAUGCCUGUAAGGUGAGCAUAGCUGUAAGGACAGUCAGUCAUGAAUGCUGCUUCCCCACUAAUAUGGCACAAUAUGUUCUUUUCAUUGUUUUUACUGUCCACAUGUUUUUUGGCCUGCUAUUUGUAUAAGAUAACAAUAUUGCCAGGGCUGAAUUAGCACAACUGUGGCUAAUUCUGAUAGCGAUCAGCAAAUGUGCUAUCUCUUUCUGUCUGUAUCUCUCCUCCUCCUCACCAGUAAAUGUCUAGUACACUGGCCACCUGACUCUGUUUGAUAGAAAGGUAAUGCAUCAACACAAGAGAUGAGAGGAAAUGGAGAUCUGAAGAUGGUUACGUCCAGGUGUACAUCGCCUGGUCUCUCCUCAUCAUAAGAAAAUGUUGAAAUAUCAAUAUUAGUAGGCCAAUUGACUUCUUCCAUUUGAUAGAAAUCUAAAUAUGUCUUCCCUUAUUUUUUAGAGUGAAGGCAUGUAAGAGUAGGUGACAGCAAAACAUCAAUGCUGCACAUUCACUGUCAGAAAUAAAAGAAGAAGAAAUAAAACCAGGUCCUGCAAAAAAAUCCUUGCAUCACACUUUGAUCUUUGGCGAUAACUUUUCCACCAAAAAAGUGAACUUUUUUGCAAACUCUAGGUCUUUUUUCAAGCAUAGGUAUAGGGGCAUAUUCAAAAUGUGCAUUAAGAACAAAUAGGUAGAUGGAAACUCAGCAGCAUUCUCUUUCUUUACCCUCGAUGCUGCUGCUCUUUCGCUCCGCUGAGGCUUCACUCAGAUGUGACUUCAACACUUCACAGACCGCUGGCCUCCAUACUAUGUCUAUGUAUGUGUGUGUAAAGCUUCUAUUGUUUCUCUCUUCAUCUCUCCCCCUAUUCUCCUCUUCACUUCCUCCUCAAUAUCCCCUCUUCUCCUAUCUCACCCUCAGCCUGGUUUCUCCUCUGUGUCUUUUUACUCUUCUACUCCUCACCUUACUUUUUCUCCUUCCUCUUCUUUUUCCAUUUCCUCCUUCACCCUUCUCCCCUCUCCCUCCUCUCCCAAUCUAUUCAUCUCGACAUGUGUGUCAAUUUGGAUGGAGUGGCUCCCGCCGUGGCAAGGCUGAGAUGGGUGGAUCAUGGAGGGAAGAUGCGAUGGAGGGCCGAAGGGACAGAUGCACCAAGCGAUAGAUAGCGGAGGAUAGAUGGAGGGACAUCUGAUGUUCUCUCGCUGGGGCAGCCAUGAGUGUAGUUGCAAUCUGUAAACACACACACACACACACACACACACACAGUUGGGAAAUUAACACAGGGGAAAUCUGUGUCCUCUCAAACAGAGAAAAUUAACACAACAGGAAAUUGGUUUCUGCUUUCUGUGCAAAUGCGACAGUAUAUCCCUUGAUAAAUGAUAUAUAAAUGAUAUGUGUAAUUUAUUUAGCUACAAAGGAAGAUAGAGGAUGAUGAUUAGGAUAGAGAAUAAGCGAGAGAGAAAGAAGUAAGCAAACUUUAAUUCUUAAAAGAAUAGAUUGACAUUUUGAAACACGCCUUUUUGCUUUCUGGCGGAGUUAAAUGAGAAGAUUGAUAGCACUCUAAGAUCUGUCAGUUAAAUAAGAAGCUACAGCUAGCUACGGUUAGCUUAGCUUAGCACAAAGACUGGAAACGGGGAAACAGAUAGCCUGGCUCUGUCCAGCGGUAACAAAAUUCAACUACAGUACCAGCUCCUCGAAAGCUCACUAAUUAACAUGUUAUAUCCUGUUUGUUUAACUCACACAAAGACUGAAGUAUAAAAAUGACAGUUCGCUGUUUGAUGGUAGGUUAUAUGUUGGACAGUUUCUUAGCUGGGAGCAUUAACUUCCUGGAGAGUCCGCUGGUUGCCUGGCAACUGUACGGAUUAAACAAAUGAGAUAUAACGUUAUUAUUGAUCUUCAGAGGAGGUGGUAGGUGGAUUUUGUUGUCAUUGGAAGGAGCCAGGCUAGCUGCUGGCUGUAGCCUUAUUCUUAGCGCACAGACAAAAGAGUCGUAUCGAUCUUCUUGUCUAACUCUCCACCAGAGAGGGAUUAAGCGCAAUUCUGAAAAUGUCAAACUACUCCUUUAAACUCUAACAAGGACUCUGACAGGCAACCGUGCUAACCGAGAGAUCAAACGCCAUGGCAACCAGUGGCUUCUGUGAUCACCGCGGAUACGGUGAGACAGCUGACCACUUUGUAGUUCCCCUUUUACAUGUACUUUUGUGUGUAUGUGUGUGUGUGUGUGUGUGUGUGUUUGUGUGUGCACAGUUACCAGGCUCAUUCAGUUGUACAGGAAUCUGAAGAAAAUAUUAUAGUGUGUAUUUGUGAAUGGUUAAGUUUUCUUGUGUGUGUGUGUCUGUGUGUGUGUAGAAAGAGAAAGAAAAAUGAUCCAUGGCUGUGUGUGUCUUUAUUCGAUUAUCUAUUAGUGUGUGCGUGUGUUUGUGUUUUCCGUGUGUCCACAUGUGCGACUGACUGUGGCUGAGUGUCUCCCCAGGCUUUUUUCUGAUAGACCACUACUGGGUGUUGUGGAGAUGAAAGGGAUGCUGGGAACUCAUCUCAUGCUAUGAAUCCUGGCCGCAAGACAACCAGUGGAGCUGCUCAUGCGAUAGAAGACCAUUUAUAAGGAGCAGCUCUCAGAUUCAAAACGAAGUUAUGAAGCUAAAGCAGUGGUCACAAUGCGGGAGGUCAGGAAGACUGAUAAUCUGGACUUUUUGACUUUUUUCAAGUCCAUAAUGACCAAUGGAACUGACAGUCAUCGGCCACCGAUGAACACCGGUGACCCAGGCUGAGUCGAUACUAAUCAGCAGUGUCGUUUUCUCGCAGAUGCCAAAGGAAGCUGGGUUUCUACUAUAGUGAUUAAACCAUUUUCUUUAUCAUAUAACAUUUAACAUGUAUUUAUUUGUGUUGUUGUAUUGUGUUAUUUAUUGUAUUGUGGUCAUUUCUUCCCCAGUUUUCAUUGAGUUUCUAAAAAUGUGGCAGUGGUGGAAAGUAACUAAGUACUAGUUCAUUUACUCAAGUACUGUACCUAAGUCAAUUUUUAAGUACUUGUACUUUACUUGAGUAAUUCUAUUUCAUGCUACUUUCUACUUCUACUCCAUUCAGAGGCAAAUAUUGUACUUCUUACUCCACUACAUUUAAGUGACAAUUUUAGUUACUGCUGCUUUGAUUCUGAUUAAUAAUACAAAAUAUAAUAAACAAAUAAAUUAUGAUGUUUUAUUAUAGCUUAAGAUAAGACUUUCACAAGCUACCUGGCAGUAUAUGAAAUAAUUAAAAUUAGCCCCACCUUUACCAGCUGCAACAUUAAAGUGAUGCCAACACAUUAAUGCAUUAAUAAUUAUAAUCCAGUGAUAUAAUACACAUCCUGAAAUGGGCCAUUCUGCAUAAUGAGUACUAUUAUUUUUGAUACUUUAAGUAUAUUUUGAUUUGUAGUAUGUGGAAAACAAUGGUAUUGUGUUGCUAUAGAAAUAACAUCCACCAAUGUGAAGCCAGGUGAAGCUGUCAUUUCUUGAUUAGUAAUUUGCUAGCUAGACAAACUUAAAGGCCCAGUGUGUAGGAUUUAGUGGCAUCUAGCGGUGGAAUUUCAGAAUGCAACCAUUUGAAUACCGCUCGCCUCACCCUCCUCUUCCAAGCGUCUAGGAGAAACUACGGUUAGCAGCUAGCAGAUAUGAAAGGUGGAUUUCUAGACAUUUGGUUACUGCACAGUGUCUGUCUGAGAAUAGGAACUUCUGAGGCCGAGCUACACUGAAACUGGACUUAAACUCAGGUAGAAAAAGAGGAUGGAGUCAGACUACAUGGACAUAUGAGAGUUGGACACUUAACCAACAUAUCAGUGGAGUCCUCUGUGGUGGAAGAAGACCUCAAGUCCAGCGGGAAAUUACAUGACUUGAUUAUGAUUACUUUUCCACCAUGAAGGGUGCAUUAGUCUUCAAAUACCGGAAGGUGAGACAAACACAACCUAUUCUCUGGUCACUCUGUGAGCUUCCUGCUGGCAAAAUGGCCCGCUGUGGCUGUUUGUGUGAAUGAAUACAACGCUACUAUGCAAUGUCGAUGUGAUUAUAUUGCUUGUAAUGGGCUUGUUUGCCUUUGGCACUGGGUGAGAUCCACAUAUGUACAGACAUUCAGCAUCAUAGACAGAGCCUGAGGGGCUUUGCAAUGUGUGAUGUGUUUAGUUUUUGUAGCCUGUGCAGAGGUCUGGUAGUUGCUUAAUUGGAUUUUUGUUCAUUCUUGCUUUGCUUUUUAGUAAUUAGCUUAACUUGAUAAGGAAUGUUGUAUGUAGGCUAUUUUUGUGUAAGUUUGAUAUGUGCAUUGAUAUUUCACCAUGGUCUGUACUUGUUGUAGCCGAGUAACUGAGGAGCUUUGUAAUACAGUCUCUAUAAGUUUUUAUAUUAAGAAGAUAGUUCAGGGAUGCUGUAAGUCAUGUUACUAGGUUUGUGCAUUGUUUCAUUUUUAUUUGAAGAUAAAUCCGUUAUCUAUGUGGCAUCCUGCAGUUGCAAGAAAAUAGGCUGAUUCUAGUAUUUUCAUUCUCUACAUAUUUAAAUUCUACUACUUUGUAUAAUAUAGAGGCUUAUAAAUAAAUCAAUGAAAUGAUUCAGGGUUUCUCCACCAGAAUCUUACCCCUGGCAAUGUGGAGAAGGCUUUAAAAGAGCAUUUAGUUCUUCGUGCUGGGGAAGUAAAAUUUACAGACAAUAUAAUCGAACAGUUAAUGAAAUAUACAUUUUAGACUUUAUUUUCAGUGUUUUAUCAAAAUCCUUUGGGGUAGGGGAGGACUUGGAUUUAUGACCUCAGUAUUCCCAAAAUCCUGGCUAUGUCCCUGUGUGUGAGGGAGAGUACUUAGGUUCUAAAAAGGUUAACUUUGCUUGUAUAUCAAUACCAACAGGGUCACAUGUCACACUUGGGUGCCCACAGGUCAUGGAGAUGUGGACUAUUACUCUUUCACUGUAUGCUCAUAACUUAUACAAUGUGUCUCAUUUGGAACUUGUUAUUGUACUUUUAUGUUCUUUGUUAUGUUUUGUGCUACUGCCUGUGUUAAACAUUAAAUGCAUAUAUUGUGAGGUAAAUUUGAGUAUACAGUUGUCCGUUAUAAAGUUUGCAC